rnacentral:misc_RNA from 1 species
AUUCUAUAAUGAAUAUAAUUCCUAUUUAAGUGUUCUUCCACCACUGCAUCAACUAUAUUGUAAGUUAAAGUCCUUUCAUUUGACACCUGAGAAUUUAGUAACCAUAGCAAAUGCAGGAAUUUUACAUUCCCAAGCAGCAUAUUUCAAUUUUCAACACAAUAUAUUCUCAAAAAUUAUCUCAUUCCUAAGAAUAUUUCAAUCCUCUCCACCAAAUGCACUUAAAAUAGUAUACUAAAAUAGGAAUGUGUCUUAACUUUUCAAAAUUUGUCAAUUUAGUGUCCUUAUUUUUGUAUCAAUCAAAUUUUCAAAAAAGCCCAAACACUGAAUUGUCAAAUUUUGAAAAGUUUAGACACCAUUUAAUAUUUUAAGAUAUAACAAAUAAAAUGCCUCACCUUUGUAUAAGUUUUUGGAAAUA